rnacentral:lncRNA from 1 species
CCCUCUAUAGUCUACUUCUUUUUUUGUUUGCCUUGUAUUAAGUGUUUUAACCCUUGAACACUGAUACCCUGUCCGACUGACGUAGGACCUCGUAACGUAUGUCAAGGCUCUGCCUAAAUUCGUUGGGGUUCUGUCUCGUGACGUAGGGAUAAAGUAGAAUUGGGUUACUAUACUUAAUGUGAGUACACUGUAUAUUUUAUUAAAUAAUCCAGGAGUUGUACCCAAAACAUAACAACCCUCCCGAAUAUUUUUCUGACACCCUGCACUUCCUAAAAUACACCCCGUAUGUGAAAACCGAGCCCGAAAUACAACAUAGCAUUAACAGUAAAUGAAAAACAAGAAAUAGUAAGUUGAGGCGGGCCGCGUAGACCCACCCCAACCGUUCACGCGGGCCGUAUGAAGGUGUAACCGGAUCCCUUUGAUUUCUUAAGUCCAGGCGGGCCGCGUAAGGCCACACCGUUAGUUUACGCGGGCCGCGAGUGUCCCUAUUGGUGGCGCAGCCCGGUGAUGACACGUGUCAUCAUCGUGGCGGGUCUAGAGGGUGAGCCGGACAAGCUAGUCCAUUGACCAGGGUUGACGCGGGCCGCGUAACCCCUGUCCUUUCUUUACGCGGGCCGCGUGGGAACCAGUUUCAGCAACUAUAAAUAGAGGCCAUCGGAUUUCAUUUGGAAUUCGCUCACGAACGUUUUCUUCUCUCAAAUCUGAAUAUUAGGCAUAAUACUCGGACUAUAACCAGGGAAUCACAAAGGAAAGCCCUAUGAUAGCAUUGUAACUUAGUGUGAAGCCAAUAUAAGCCAGCUGGAGAGCACUGAAGGCUUGGAAAAGUGGCUAUAAAGUUACCUAAGAUAAAAUAGAUGUUUUUAUUAAAUAAAAAGAGGAUUUAUUCCUAUGAAAACGUGUGUACUGCAAAACUUGGGUUUUAUCCCAUGUGUUUAAUAUUAUGAAAAUAUGGUGGUUUUACU